GCUUGCUCAGAUAUGACGAUGGACAUUGCAAAGAGUGGCGAACGGGUGAGUAACACGUGGGAAACCUACCUCUUAGCAGGGGAUAACAUUUGGAAACAGAUGCUAAUACCGUAUAACAAUAGCAACCGCAUGGUUGCUACUUAAAAGAUGGUUCUGCUAUCACUAAGAGAUGGUCCCGCGGUGCAUUAGUUAGUUGGUGAGGUAAUGGCUCACCAAGACGAUGAUGCAUAGCCGAGUUGAGAGACUGAUCGGCCACAAUGGGACUGAGACACGGCCCAUACUCCUACGGGAGGCAGCAGUAGGGAAUCUUCCACAAUGGGCGAAAGCCUGAUGGAGCAACGCCGCGUGUGUGAUGAAGGGUUUCGGCUCGUAAAACACUGUUGUAAGAGAAGAAUGACAUUGAGAGUAACUGUUCAAUGUGUGACGGUAUCUUACCAGAAAGGAACGGCUAAAUACGUGCCAGCAGCCGCGGUAAUACGUAUGUUCCAAGCGUUAUCCGGAUUUAUUGGGCGUAAAGCGAGCGCAGACGGUUAUUUAAGUCUGAAGUGAAAGCCCUCAGCUCAACUGAGGAAUUGCUUUGGAAACUGGAUGACUUGAGUGCAGUAGAGGAAAGUGGAACUCCAUGUGUAGCGGUGAAAUGCGUAGAUAUAUGGAAGAACACCAGUGGCGAAGGCGGCUUUCUGGACUGUAACUGACGUUGAGGCUCGAAAGUGUGGGUAGCAAACAGGAUUAGAUACCCUGGUAGUCCACACCGUAAACGAUGAGUGCUA
rnacentral:rRNA from 1 species